rnacentral:rRNA from 1 species
GUGUACUUCAUAAAAGUACGCCAAUUAAGUCCCUGCCCUUUGUACACACCGCCCGUCGCUACUACCGAGUGAAUCGUGUCAUGAUGCUUUGUAACUAGACAUUAUAUUAGCUUUAUUGAUAAUAAUGAUGCUGGGAUCAAUGUAAAAUGGCGCAAUUUCGAGGAAGUAAAAGUCGUAACAAGGUUUCCGUAGGUGAACCUGCGGAAGGAUCAUUGUUGUUUAAUAAAUUUUUGUGGUGCAUGGAAUUGAUAAUUGUAUGUUGUAUUAUAUUAUUAUAAUACAAAUGAGAAAAUAUAAAAAAAAAAUUACAAAGUAAUUAUAAUAAAAAAAAAUAUAUAUAUAUAAUGUGAGUGAAUAAAAUAUAAAAUAACCAUUAACGGUGGAUCACUCGGCUCUGAGUUCGAUGAAGAACGCAGCUAAAUGCGAUAAUUGAUGCGAAUCGCAAGCUUAGUGAGUCAUCGAAAUUUUGAAUGCAAAUGGCGCUUUUGAUUAAUUUCAAAGGCAUGUCUAGUUGAGGGUUAAAAUUAUAUAAAAAUUAUAAUAAAUUUAUAAAAUUUUUAUAAAAAUAUUAUUAUAUUUGGCUGUGAAAUAAAUGCUUGUGAUUCUCAACUUAAAAGAUUAUUCGUUGAUUUUAUACAUGUUAUGUUUUAUGCAAUAUGCAAAAUUAACAAUUAUAAAUCAAAACAAAUACAAUUUAACCUCAACUUAGGCAAGAUUACGCCGUGAACUAAAGCAUUUCAGUAACGGCAGGAAUAGAAAAUAACAAUGAUUCUCAUAGUAACUGCGAGUG